AGAGUUUGAUCAUGGCUCAGAACGAACGUUAGCGGCGCGCCUAACACAUGCAAGUCGAGCGAGAAGGAAGCAAUUCCUGUAAAGCGGCGCACGGGUGAGUAACACGUAGGUAAUCUACCUCAAGGUGGUGGAUAACCUCCCGAAAGGAAGGCUAAUACAGCAUGAGACCACUGAUUCCGAAAGGGAUUGAGGUCAAAGCCGGCCAAUUCAUGAAAGCUGGCGCCUGAGGAUGAGCCUGCGGCCCAUCAGCUAGUUGGUAGGGUAAUGGCCUACCAAGGCGAAGACGGGUAGCUGGUCUGAGAGGAUGAUCAGCCACACUGGAACUGAGACACGGUCCAGACUCCUACGGGAGGCAGCAGUGGGGAAUCUUGCGCAAUGGGCGAAAGCCUGACGCAGCGACGCCGCGUGAGUGAUGAAGGCCUUCGGGUUGUAAAGCUCUGUGGAGGGGGACGAAUAAGGGUUGGCUAAUAUCCAGCUCGAUGACGGUACCCUUUUAGCAAGCACCGGCUAACUCUGUGCCAGCCGCCGCGGUAAUAC
rnacentral:rRNA from 1 species